rnacentral:rRNA from 1 species
CCUACGGGAGACAGCAGUGAGGAAUAUUGGUCAAUGGGCGUAAGCCUGAACCAGCCAAGUCGCGUGAGGGAUGAAGGUUCUAUGGAUCGUAAACCUCUUUUAUAAGGGAAUAAAGUGUGGGACGUGUCCUAUUUUGUAUGUACCUUAUUAAUAAGGAUCGGCUAACUCCGUGCCAGCAGCCGCGGUAAUCCGGAGGGUCCGAGCGUUAUCCGGAUUUAUUGGGUUUAAAGGGUGCGUAGGCGGCCUUUUAAGUCAGCGGUGAAAGUCUGUGGCUCAACCAUAGAAUUGCCGUUGAAACUGGGGGGCUGGAGUAUGUGUGAGGCAGGAGGAAUGCGUGGUGUAGCGGUGAAAUGCUUAGAUAUCACGCAGAAACGCGAUUGCGAAGGAAGCCUGCCAAGCCAUGACUGACGCUGAUGCACGAAAGCGUGGGGAUCAAACAGGAUUAGAUACCCUUGUAGUC